rnacentral:lncRNA from 1 species
ACCUGGGUGAGUUUACCCUUAGUGGGAAGUAGGAAGUUAAACAGGUGUACAGCCUUACAUCUGCAGUCUUCUUUUUUCCUACAUACAAGUAUGUUGAAUGUUUCACACUGACAAGAAAGUAGAUUAGAUGGUAUGUCCUUUAAGUUACCUUGCAUCCAUUCUGGAAGAAAGAAGUAGGAGAGGAAGAAAAGCAAGCCGAGCCUGGCUGAUGUUCAGAGCAUUUAUCCUUCAGAAGGAGCAGACACUGUAUACUAAGCACACAGCUGCUUUUGACUCCUCCCAAGUCUUAAGGUAAUUUCAUGACCUUGGCCAAGGAUACUUGGUGAAGAUUAAUGAGGGGACAUUGACAAUGCCUCAGGCUGGCCACUCCUCACACCUGGCCUUUGGUCCCCAGCCUUUCAAGGGACUGCUCAUCCCAUCCCUAACUCCCCGGGUGUCACAGCAGGCGCAUUCUUGGCUUUGAUUUCAAGAGUUCUCUCCUGGCACCUUCCACCAGAUGUCAGUUAAAGGGCAGGAGUAGAGCAGAGAGGUGUGGGGAGGAGGCUCUGAAAUCUUAAGUUGCCUAGGCCUACAGCUUAGGGCUCUGGCAGUUGAAAUGGCCCGAAACGGGGCAUCAUCAUGUCUGGAUGCGGCUCUGGCUUUGUGAUUCCAGCUCCUACCAGCUCCACCUUGACCUCUUGUCACCAUGCAGGGCUGUCUGGGAGGAAACUGGCCACUUGUGCUCAGACUGCUGCCAGCAUUCUCACAGCUUUGCUCUCCACAUUAAUGACCUAGAUUAUUCCAGUAUUGUUUCCAUUUCCCACCUGACCUCCAGCUUCUCAGAGCUGACUUCUUGCAGGGGCCACAUGCUUCUCUUUCCCUCACUAACUGCAGGGUCUCCAGCACACCUCAGUGUACACACUUUGCUGCUACCGUCUGUACUGUCUACAUCACAAUUCCCUGAGCUUGCUCCUGGUACUGCAUUACAGGCAAGCAUGAAGUGUAAAGUAUUUAUUUAAAUAAAAAGGAAACCUCUGGAUUGGUCACCGAGUCACCUCCCUAUAGAUUCGUAGUCUGUGGCAUAUUUUGACUUUCUAGUUCUUCUGCUAGAUCCAUACAAGGUCUGGUCAUCUGGUUAAGGGUUUGAAGCAGACACAGCUACGAACCCGGAUGCUGUCAUCACUGUCACGGCUGGCUACACUACAGAUGUUCGUGUCCUUACAUUUAUGACCACAGGGUGUGAAGUAACUACCAAGAACCUGGUUUUGUACACUGUACACCUCGGUAUCUCACACUCUGACAGGGACACACAUGACUUCCUUCGUACAGACAGCUUAAAUAAAGCCCUGUGUCAAUCCGCUACUCCUCUGUUUGUUGUUGUUGGAUAUGGCUCUGUAACUUCAGAAAACUAAAUUUCGUUCUUUUCUGGAAAAAGGACUAUAGCCCCAGCUGUUAUUAACCAGCCUGUAUGACGGUGUGACAGGAAAAGAGGUAAAUAGAUAAGACACAGACGGGGUGUUCCCCUUGACCAAAAUGCCAAUAGCCUGUGUGUUUGUAGCAACUGAUGAAGGGCUAGGAGUGCAGUCCCUGGCCACCAGCAGCAGAUUUUAAGGCACAUCUACUAGGAUGCCAGAAAAAGAGUAGAUUGCAGACCCUAAAGGUCUUGAUAAGAAAUGGUGUGGGCCCCAAAUUCUCAAGGAAUGCAGCUUGUCACUAAUGUCUUCCUGAUAACACACAGCUCCAGACACUUCUUUGCAAGUGUAUCUUUAACCCUUCAUGUCAGUUUAUAACGUAGACAUAGUAAUCGAUGGCCAGAAUGUCUGGAUUACAUUGUUUUGGAUGGGGUGUAUUUCUGAUUUUACCUCAUAAGCUACAACUGUAGAACUUGGCUUUGCUCUUGUGAGUUCAACAGGGAGAGGAGUGACUUUUGGGACCAGUUAGUCAGGCAUGCAUGUGUAUUUCUCACAGCCAAAUCUGGAGGCAUUCUUACAUGUGCUGUCCUCAAAAUCAACUGGGGUUGGCAGAUCCAUGAGGCUGAAAUAAAGUGACCUCUACAACUCUUUAAAGGUGCUAUUUUUAGAAUAUUGUAUAAUUUAUUCAUGGUAUAAAUACAUAAAACAGAAUUGAGGACAGUUAAAAUAUGUGACAGCUUUAUUGCUAGCACAUUUGAUGAAACCAGAAACUUCUCAGAAUAGAAGUUCUGCUGUUCGAGGCUUGCACCUUUGACAUGCCCCAGAGAUGAGGAUGGCCCAUGCACCGUCCUGCUACCACCACCUCCAUGGCCUAAGCUGCAUGUUUGUGAGGGGCAGGCUGAGCAUGUGGACACCAGGCCUCAGCUGAGCGCCCUGGGCUGCUGGGCUGCUGGGCUGCUGGCAGGGAGAGGUGAGGUGUCACAUGCAGCCUUGCCCCCAGUGUUUCAUCCCACCCUCAAACGCCGUGACCAUCUCAGCAUCCAGGCUCUAUUCCUGUCUGUCUGUUCGCUUUUGUUUUUUGUUUUUGUCUUCGUUCGUUUUGUGGAGCCGGGAGAGGACCCCGGGGCCUCACAUGCUGGGCAAGUGCCCUGCCACCGAGCUACACCCCAGACCUUCCAGUGUCCAUUUGUGUUCCUUUAAAGCAUUUGAGGGCUUGACUGUAUAGUAGAAAUACUAUUUUAGACUAAGAAUAUGAUCUGUGUACAGAUAUUUGAUAUACUGUUAAGUAAAUUUUCUAAUUUCACAUACAUUUGUUUUUAGGCUCCUCUCAAGUACUGCUAUUGA